rnacentral:rRNA from 1 species
AACGAGUUCUCGUUGAUGAUCGGUGCUUGCACCGAGAUUCAACAUGGAACGAGUGGCGGACGGGUGAGUAACACGUGGGUAACCUGCCCUUAAGUGGGGGAUAACAUUUGGAAACAGAUGCUAAUACCGCAUAGAUCCAAGAACCGCAUGGUUCUUGGCUGAAAGAUGGCGUAAGCUAUCGCUUUUGGAUGGACCCGCGGCGUAUUAGCUAGUUGGUGAGGUAAUGGCUCACCAAGGCGAUGAUACGUAGCCGAACUGAGAGGUUGAUCGGCCACAUUGGGACUGAGACACGGCCCAAACUCCUACGGGAGGCAGCAGUAGGGAAUCUUCCACAAUGGACGCAAGUCUGAUGGAGCAACGCCGCGUGAGUGAAGAAGGCUUUCGGGUCGUAAAACUCUGUUGUUGGAGAAGAAUGGUCGGCAGAGUAACUGUUGUCGGCGUGACGGUAUCCAACCAGAAAGCCACGGCUAACUACGUGCCAGCAGCCGCGGUAAUACGUAGGUGGCAAGCGUUAUCCGGAUUUAUUGGGCGUAAAGCGAGCGCAGGCGGUUUUUUAAGUCUGAUGUGAAAGCCCUCGGCUUAACCGAGGAA